ACAACUUCAAGAUAAAAACAAGCUAAAUCGAGCUCGAAGCUUCUUCACACUUCGACAAACUCCACAUAAUGAAAACCACGAAGGAAACAAAUCACGAAACACGCGAACGGUGAAAACAAGUUAAAAGACGGAAGGUGAAAGUAGCGCAGAUCUAUAUGAGAGGCAGAAGUCUUACUCUUGGUAAGCGGAGAGAACGAAGACAGAGACGAACAGGAGUCUACCGAGGAAAGAAAUGAACGCCAUUGUCUCCCUCUCUCUCUCUCUCUCUCGCU
rnacentral:lncRNA from 1 species